GAUGAACGCUGGCGGCGUGCCUAAUACAUGCAAGUCGAGCGAACAGACGCUGAUCUUGCUGCUCUGACGUUAGCGGCGGACGGGUGAGUAACACGUGUAUAACCUACCUAUCAGACUGGGAUCACUUCGGGAAACCGGCGCUAAUCCCGGAGAAUAUCCUGAACCGCAGGGGUGAAUGGUGAAAUACGGUGUUGCUGUCUCUUCUAGAUGGAUCCGCGCUGCAUUAGCUGGUUGGUAAGGUAACGGCUUACCAAGGCAACGUUGCGUAGCCGACCUGAGAGGGCGAGCGGCCAGCCUGGAACUGAGACACGGUACAGAGUCCUACGGGAGGCAGCCGUAGGGCAUCUGCCGGCAUGGGCGGAGGCCAUAGGGCGCAACGCCGAGUGAGUGAUGAAGGUCGUCGGAUCGUAGAUCUCUGCUAUCGGGGAAGAACACAUGUGUAAGUAACUCGGCGCGUCAUUACGGUUACUAAGCAGAGAGGCACCGGUUAAUUACGG
rnacentral:rRNA from 1 species